GUGGGGAAUCUUGCGCAAUGGGCGAAAGCCUGACGCAGCCAUGCCGCGUGAAUGAUGAAGGUCUUAGGAUUGUAAAAUUCUUUCACCGGGGACGAUAAUGACGGUACCCGGAGAAGAAGCUCCGGCUAACUUCGUGCCAGCAGCCGCGGUAAUACGAAGGGGGCUAGCGUUGCUCGGAAUUACUGGGCGUAAAGGGCGCGUAGGCGGACAGCUUAGUCAGAGGUGAAAGCCCAGGGCUCAACCUUGGAAUUGCCUUUGAUACUGGCUGUCUUGAGUACGAGAGAGGUGAGUGGAACUCCGAGUGUAGAGGUGAAAUUCGUAGAUAUUCGGAAGAACACCAGUGGCGAAGGCGACUCACUGGCCCGUUACUGACGCUGAGGCGCGAAAGCGUGGGGAGCAAACAGGAUUAGAAACCCGAGUAGUCC
rnacentral:rRNA from 1 species